rnacentral:rRNA from 1 species
CCUACGGGAGGUUGCAGUGGGGAAUAUUGGACAAUGGGCGAAAGCCUGAUCCAGCCAUGCCGCGUGUGUGAAGAAGGCCUUCGGGUUGUAAAGCACUUUCAGUGGGGAAGAAAGCCUUGGGGCUAAUACCCUCGAGGAAGGACAUCACCCACAGAAGAAGCACCGGCUAACUCCGUGCCAGCAGCCGCGGUAAUACGGAGGGUGCGAGCGUUAAUCGGAAUUACUGGGCGUAAAGCGCGCGUAGGCGGUCUGAUAAGCCGGUUGUGAAAGCCCCGGGCUCAACCUGGGAACGGCAUCCGGAACUGUCAGGCUAGAGUGCAGGAGAGGAAGGUAGAAUUCCCGGUGUAGCGGUGAAAUGCGUAGAGAUCGGGAGGAAUACCAGUGGCGAAGGCGGCCUUCUGGACUGACACUGACGCUGAGGUGCGAAAGCGUGGGUAGCAAACAGGAUUAGAUACCCCAGUAGUC